AAUAAUAGUUAAUGACGCUCAGAAAAUCCAUCAGUUUUAAAUGUGGUGAAGCUGGCUGUAACAUAUGAUAAGAUCUUUAUGUACAGGUGGAAAUAUUUCAUCAUGGUCCUUUGCUAUUUCAACUCACAUGGAAGAAAGCCCACUGGGUGUACUCCUUGAACCAACCAAAUAGACUCAAUCAAAAACACACAUAGCAUCGGCAAACAUCAGAGAAUACAAAGAAAGAAAGUUCAAGAAAAUGCAUCUCAAGGGCUCUGUUUGUACAGGUCUGGCCUCUCGAAGAUUGAGCCAUUCUUAGACCUUUUACUGGAGAGGCUUUGUGUAACGUACUGCCUAAUGGCUCGGCUGUUCAAAUGUGAUACAGUCCAUUAUGACAGUAGGCUAUGCUACCUAUGUGCAGACGGCAAGACAGAACUGAAGCAACAGUCACAUUUCCAAGCCAAACAAACUUAAAAAUUAAUGCUGUGAAGGGGAGAACUGUAUUCCAAAUCUCCAUGAACUGUUACCGGUGCCAAAUUAAAUGACUAUCAAAGGAGCAAUGAAGAAGUAUUAUAGGAAAUAAAAAGGGAAGGGGAAAAACUCCUUUAGGAGUUGAAUAAUUUAAUGGAGGGAGGGACGCUUCCACCUGAAACUUCAUUUGCAGCAACUUCUGGGAGUCACAGGUGUUUUAACGUGUUCCCUCAACCACUCGUUCAAUCCCUUGCAAAUUGUUGACCUUUAGAAAAUUGAAGGCAAUUCUCUAGUCAAGACGAAGUACAAACAGAGGGUAUAAGAGCCCCUGAUUUCAGCGAGUUUGUAAUCUUGUGGAGGAAUCGUGACACAUGCUUAGUAUUAUUAAUGCAAAGCAAAGAUCUUUAUGUAAAUUUCUUAGAGUAAAAACCAUGAGCCUUUUGAGUUCAGAGGCAGAAAAAUAAAAAAACAAAUCUAAUCGUUCUCUCUGCUAACAUGAUAAUGCCCUGUUGUACUAUUUGUAGCCUGGCAUUUUGCUCUCCAAAAAGUCAGAAUUAUUCAUGCCCUAUGUCUUAUAGAGUAAAUUGUGAUAGAGUUUAGAGAACUGGGACUGGAAAUAUCUCUAAUAAUUAUGUGCUUGCUCCUUACAGAAGCACACAUUUUAUCUAGUACUUCUAAUUAUAUGGUAGUGAUGCGUAAGUAUUACUAAUUACAGGGAAAUGCUUGUCAUGCAUAUACCAUUUUCUUGGUUUUCAGUUAAAAGAAAAUGCCCACCAGGGUAAGAAAUAGAUGUUGGAAAGCAGCAUACUGCUGCCAAUGUUACGUGGCUUUCAAAGCUUUCACUGAUUUUCAAAUGUAGUUAUUUCAGUUUCCUGGUUUGCAAAUACAUAAAUAACCAAUCAUGUGAUGGUGUUCACCUCAUGUGUUUUAUGCAAAUUCCUAGUGUUGCAGGUUCAAGUAGAAAUAUUUUACUUGGCAUUAAUUGAAUAAGAUGUAAAGGUACAAAUAUGCUUAACAUAGACUCAAAAAUAGGCAUUCCUUUAGGGCCCACUGAGGUAUGGACCUAACUUAAAUCCGUUUACCUUUUAGUUUUUAAAAUCAUUAGAUGCGUAUUGUUACAGAACAAGACAUGAAAAAUUUGUGAAACUUCAUAUAUAAAAUUUAAAUGUGUGUACUUAAAAAUAUUAAGUUCCGGCCUUGGCGGGAGGGGAUGGAGGCGGCCGCGGCGCCGGGGCGGGAUGCACCGGGGAGCACGGCGAGUCAGCCCAGCGGCUGCGGAAAACACAACUCGCUGGAGAGGAAGAAAGGCCAAAGAUAUUAUAAAAGCAGCUCGGGAGAGCCUUGCGAAGAUGAUUGGUGGGAAACCUCAAGACAUCAUCUUCACUUCCGGGGGCACCGAGUCAAAUAAUUGAGUAAUCCAUUCUGUGGUGAAACAUUUCCACGUAAACCAGACCUCAUAGGGAGACACGGGUGUGCACCACAGCCCAGUAGAUGGGCAAAGCCCCAUUUCAUCACUUCCUCUGCGGAACACGACUCCAUUCGACUACCCCUGGAGCACCUGGCAGAAGAACAAGCAGCAGCGGUCACCUUUGUCCCGGUGUCCAAGGCGAGCGGGCAGGCAGAGGUAGACGACAUCCUUGUAGCCGUCCGCCGGACCACACGCCUCGUGAGCAUCAUGCUGGCCAACGAGACCGGCGUCGUCAUUCCUGUCCCUGAAAUCAGCCAACGCAUUAAAGCCCUGAACCAGGAACGGGCAGCUGCCGGGCUGCCUCCCAUCCUUGUGCACACGGAUGCUGCACAGGCCUUGGGGAAGCGGCGCGUGGAUGUGGAGGACCUGGGCGUGGACUUCCUUACAAUCGUGGGGCACAAGUUUAAUGGUCCCAGGACUGGCGCACUUUAUGUACGGGGGAAUUGGUGAAUGUACCCUUCUCUACCCUAUGCUGUUUGGAGGUGGACAAGAACAGAAUUUCAGGCCAGGGUAAGGCAGAAAGUUAACUGGCCGUGUCAUGUCUGUAGAGCAGUGACAUUGUGAAGAACCAUGGCACCGUUUCUUUGUCUCGUGGGGGGCUCUGUAGCAGAGUCCAUGCUGCUGCUUUGUCACAGCUGGCUCCACUGACUGAUUUUAUGCUGAGGACUCACGGGACCUGCAGUCUCUCUGGCAAUGAAGGAAAUCUCCGUUUCUUUUAACUGCUUCAAAGCAUCCAAUUCCCCUUGUAAUUUUGGCCCAGCCCACUGGUGAGAGAACUGUUGGACCCUUCAUAGCUGAGGCCUGCUGCUGUUUUAACUUCGGGGAUCAGCAGGGCCACACGGAAGCACCCUGGUCUUCUUUCUGAUAGCUCCUGUGUACCCUCUAUGUACAGUGACAUGUUAACUGGGAAAUUACUUCUUGCCCCCACUAUACUUUUUGUUAGAAACUUCUUACCAAGAGAGAGAAACAGGAGCAGCAUGGGGAUGAGUUCCCUGGAUUUUCUUUUUGCAUUGUGUAUCCCACACAGUGCUGAGGAAGCUGGCAAACUGACACAAAAGUGCCCAACCAAAGCCUGUCCUUUCUGGCCAGUGGACCAGGAAAGGAGCGGCCUAGCAAGACAGAAGACCUUCAGACAACAGCCGCUUUCCUCCAGCCAGGCACUGCAGAGUAGUUGUGCUGCCGCGCCUGUCGACGCUGGAAAACAUUCAGCGGGAAACCCAGACUUCCACCAAUACAGGCUGUCACGAGGCAGUCCACAUCCUCACCAGUGUGUCAAGUAGGCCAGGUAGAGAACCAGGACUUCCACCCCCACCAUGGUAUCAGCAGAGACCAUAUAGGGAUCUUAGAUCCACACGUGUCAGUCAUAAGGAGCAUCCUCCCGUUGGGUGUCAGCAGCAGCCAAGUAAGAAAUCUAGACGUCGGGCGGGUGCAGUGGCUCAUGCCUGUAAUCCCAGCACUUUGGGAGGCUGAGACGGGUGGAUUGCUUGAGGUCAGGAGUUUGAGACCAUCCUGGCCAACAUGGUGAAACCUCGUCUCUACUAAAAAUACAAAAAUUAGCUUCGUGUAGUGGCACUUGCCUGUAAUCCCAGCUACUUGGGUGGCUGAGACAGGAAAAUCGCUUGAACCCGGGAGUUGGAAGUGGCAGUGAGCCAAGAUCGCACCACUGCACUCCAGCCUGGACCACAGAGCAAGACCUUGUCUCUUUUUUAAAAAGACAACAUUAAGCCGGGCGCAGUGGCUCACACCUGUAAUCCCAGCACUUUGGGAGGCUGAGGCGGGUGGAUCACGAGGUCAAGAGAUCAAGACCAUCCUGGUCAACAUGGUGAAACCCCGUCUAUACUAAAAAUACAAAAAAAAAAAAAAAAAAAAAAAAUUAGCUGGGCAUGGUUGCACGUGCCUGUAAUCCCAGCUACUCAGGAGGCUGAGGCAGGAGAAUUGCCUGAACCCAGCAGGCGGAGGUUGCAGUGAGCCGAGAUCGUGCCAUUGCACUCCAGCCUGGGUAACAAGAGAGAAACUCCGUCUAAAAAAAAAAAAAAAAAAAAAAAAAAAAAUAUAUAUAUAUAUAUAUAAAUAAAAAGACAACAUUAAAGAAAUAAAAUAAUAAUAAAAAAUUAAGUUCCCCUGCCUUUGUUUAUUGGAUAAACAAUAAAGCUUUAUUAUUAUAAACCUUUUUAACAAUGCUAUUGGAUAUUUUAAUGUGAUGUUUAUGUGUUGUGGUGUUUAUUAUUAUACACAGUAAUUUAUUUUUAUAUUUGUGUGACAUUCUUCACAAUUUAUGCUUCUACAGUUAUUUUACUUUGAAGGGAAGGAUGAAGCAGUAUAAAUAAUCAUUACAUUCAGCUACUAUACUUUUGUUGAAGUUCAGGAAAUAGAAAACUCUUAGGGACUAAGCAAAUUUUCAAAAUUAUUGCAUGUAAUUAGCCCAAGAUUAAAAAGAAUUUUUUUUGUCUCUUUCCCAGUGAAAGAUUAGUGAUGUUUUAAUUAAUUUACUGGCACUCAGCAUAGAAGAAGUUAUAAACUCUGAGGAAAGUAAACCCUUUGAAACAAUUUCAUUAGUGUAGAUUUUCAGAAUCUGUAUUUAAAAAGAGACAUAGUAACUUAAGACUUUCAGAAUCUGUAUUUAAAAAGAGACAUAGUAACUUAAGACUUUCAGAAUCUGUAUUUAAAAAGAGACAUAGUAACUUAAGACUAUAACAUAUUAAGUACUUCUCCUCAUUGUGGUAUUUUCCAUUAAAGAGAAAUAAGACUACCUAUGCAUAUUACUUAUCUCUUCCAAGACAGUAUUAUAAAUAUUUCAAUGCCUUAACUUUUAAAAAAAAUCGACACAUGUAUUUUACAUAUGUAUGGGGUGCAUGUGAUAUUUUGUUACAUGUAUGGGAUACGUAAUGGUCAAGAGACGGUGUUUGGGGUAUCCAUUACUUUGAGGAUUUAUCAUUUCUUUUUUUAUUGCAUUUUAGGUUUUGGGGUGCUUGUGAAGAACAUGCAAGAUUGUUGCCUAGGUACACACUUGGCAGUGUGAUUUGCUGCCUUCCUCCCAUCACCUAUAUCUGGUAUUUCUCCCCAUGCUAUCUCUCCCCAACUCCCCACCCCCUGCUGUCCCUCCCCUAUUUCCCCCAACAGACCCCAGUGUGUGAGGAUUUAUCAUUUCUAUGUGUUGGGAACAUUUAAAGUUCUCUCUUCUUGCUGCUGUGAAUUACACAAUACGUUGUUGCUGUGUAUAGUCACCAUGAAAUCCACUUUUCUAGUUCCCACAUAUGAGUGAGAACAUCAAUGUUCUCACGUCAACUCUUUUUUUUUUUUUUUAAUUUUUUAUUGGAUUAUAGGUUUUGGGGUACAUGAGCAGAGCAUGCAAGACAGUUGCGUAGGUACACACAUGGCAGUGUGCUUUGCUUUUCUUCUCCCCUUCAUUCACAUUUGGCAUUUCUCCCCAGGCUAUCCCUCCCCACCUCCCCCUCCCACUGGCCCUCCCCUUUUCCCCCCAAUAGACCCCAGUGUUUAGUACUCCCCUUUCUGUGUCCAUGUGUUCUCAUUUUUCAUCACCCACCUAUGAGUGAGAAUAUGCGGUGUUUCAUUUUCUGUUCUUGUGUCAGUUUGCUGAGGAUGAUGUUUUCCAGAUUCAUCCAUGUCCCUACAAACGACACGAACUCAUCAUUUCUGAUUGCUGCAUAAUAUUCCAUGGUGUAUAUGUGCCACAUUUUUCCAAUCCAGUCUAUUAUCAAUGGGCAUUUGGGUUGAUUCCAGGUCUUUGCUAUUGUAAACAGUGCUGCAAUGAACAUUCGUGUACAUGUGUCCUCACGUCAACUCUUA